UUGGAGGGCAGUCUGGUGCCAGCAGCCGCGGUAAUUCCAGCUCCAAUAGCGUAUAUUAAAGUUGUUGCAGUUAAAAAGCUCGUAGUUGAAUUUCGGGAUCAAAUUGUCGGUCGUGCCUCGGUACGCACUGGUAUUAUUGGUUCCUACCCUCUGAAGAACCGCGAUGUCAUUAAUUUGGUGUCGUGGGGAAUCAGGACUGUUACUUUGAAAAAAUUAGAGUGUUUAAAGCAGGCUUACGCUUGAAUACAUUAGCAUGGAAUAAUGAAAUAGGACGUUUGAUUCUAUUUUGUUGGUUUCUAGGAUUGACGUAAUGAUUAAUAGGGAUAGUUGGGGGCAUUAGUAUUCAAUUGUCAGAGGUGAAAUUCUUGGAUUUAUUGAAGACUAACUACUGCGAAAGCAUUUGCCAAGGAUGUUUUCAUUAAUCAAGAACGAAAGUUAGGGGAUCGAAGACGAUCAGAUACCGUCGUAGUCUUAACCAUAAACUAUGCCGACUAGGGAUCGGAUGAUGUUAAUUUUUUAAUGACUCAUUCGGCGCCUUACGGGAAAC
rnacentral:rRNA from 1 species